rnacentral:lncRNA from 1 species
GCAUAUAUAAAUACGAGAAAGAAGACAAUUUGUGCUGAAGUGUAAAAGAUAUUUUAUUGCUUCAAUGAUACAAAAGUUGAUACACCCAAAGAUGUGGAGACGAAAGAAAUUGGACAUUAUCCUAUACAAAGCCUAAGUGAUGAAAAUGAUCGUAAACUAGGCUUUGUUGCUGACGCGUCUUGAAUGUUUUUCCAAGUCUAUAUGACGUCUACACAUUUAAUGUCAUUCUCGAUGUAUGUCUCUCGCUUAGUAGUUGUGAUGAUCUCUUGACCGCGUAUCUCGUUGUUAUGCCUCGAGCAUGAUAGUUUGCUUAUCUUGUCCAAGUGUUGGUUGAAGGUCCCAUAUUUGAGAAGUCAUCUCUCUUGAAAAACCUUCAAUCACCAUGGGAGCCGCCAUUGAUAAACUUCAAAACCGUCAACAAAUCAAGUGCAACAGUUGGUAAAGGGGACUCUGCAUCUUGUAUGACAUCUCAGACUGAUAUCUGGACUCGUUGAACUUCUUUGCAAGUCUGCAAAAGAAAUAAAUAAAGAGAUAAGAUUUGUGAAGCACAAUAGCUAAAGUUACUAUAUUCAAGACUGUAAAGUCAAUUUCAAGAAAACAACAACAUUCAUAGGACAACUCAGAGAGCAUAGAGAUGGGAAGCGAGCUCAACGGAGGACGAGAUCAACUUUGGAAAAUUAUUGUGGUCCAUCUGGAAGACGUUCUACCCCAAACAUUUUAUAUGUUGUAGAUUUGGAUGUCUAGUCUCCAGCAACACAAUCCGUUUGCGAUUCGGAGGCUCCUAGCUCAAGAUACGAUUUUUGUUGUCGGAACUACACGAAUCUGAAAGUUACUGCAGCUAGGUGGACUUUGAGAAUUUUCUGUUUCCAGCUCGAUAGAAGUUCUGCCGUGAAACUCAUACGUAUUUGCAGUUCUAUGAGUAUACUUUCUAAUGGCGCAAGCGGAUCCCAAUUUGGAGUCUCCUAACUCGAGAUAUGAAUUUUCCACCAAAGCGCGCAAAGCUGAAAAGCAAUUUCGCGGAUAGAUGGGUCAAGUUCAGAAAGUUGCUGCGGACAAUCUGCUAUGAAUUCUUCUAUGAUAUCUUGAGGAUUUCAUUAUCUCUGAGUCUUCUUUCCAAUGGCGCAGACGGCUCGCGAUUUGGACAUUCCUAGCUUGAAAUAUAUAUGUUUUGAUGACAACAUGCAAUGCUGUAAAGUCAAAAUGUCAGUUAUGUAUACCAGCUUCAAAAGUCGACUCCGACUAAUUCUCAAGGAUUUUAUCCGUAAAUUCUUUAAAGGAUGUAACUUUUCAAGUUUUGAUUCUUUGAAAGCAAGAAGCUUCAGAUUUCAUCGCUCCUACAUCAAGGAAUUAAUAAUUUUGCAAAGGUUUGCCAAGCACUCGCUCGCCAAGGAUGAAAUAUGGUCGCUCGAGCUCCAAGCCUCUUUCUUGCCAAAUCGCAAGGCUGAGAUGCACCAUGUUCUCGCUCGCAUGUUGCAAAGUAGGGAUAUGGCUCGUCGAUCAAGCUCACAUAGGAAUACGUCUCUCGUCAAGCUGCAAGAAAGGAUGUACCAAGUUGUUGUUGUACUCUCUUGAAAACCUGCAAAAAUAAGAAAAGAUUUUGGAGCCCUUGGUGCCAACAAGAUGACGUUUUUGCAGAUACGGUGCGAGUAGCACGACGAUAAGCUCGAUUAAUGGAUAUCGGUGCCAUAGCACGAUGUUUUUGCUUCUACAGACGCGAUGCCAGUGAUACGAAGCUGUAGAUCCCACAUGAUUGAUUGGUGCCAAUGACAAAAAGCUUUGAUUCAGCAGCAAAUAUCAGUGUGACACCUUCAAUGCGAAUGGUGAGCAUUGUGACACGACGCUUCAAUGCGAAGGGUAAACAUUAUGACGUGCACUUCUCCGUCAAAUCCUCGAUGGAUCAUACGCUUAAUGAACCUACAAAAGGGGAGGGGUGAUCAUCCCCUUCUUCUCUUGAUGAAUAUUGGAGAAUUCGCCAUGUAUAUCAUCUCCGAGCCUACAGAAAAAAAACUGAAAAAAAAAAACUAAAAAAUACGCAGAAGAAGAAAUUACCUUCUAGUAUUUUCUAAUCGUCAAAGGCUGACUUGAAGCAACUUGUAAAUGUU